rnacentral:tRNA from 1 species
CUUGCGAUAGCUCAACUGGUAAAGCGGAGGACUGUAGUCCCUUAGGUCGUUGGUUCAAACCCAGCUCGCAAGA